CUGUUCAGGUGAUGUUGACCCGA
rnacentral:siRNA from 1 species